rnacentral:rRNA from 1 species
CCUACGGGAGGCAGCAGUGGGGAAUAUUGCACAAUGGGCGCAAGCCUGAUGCAGCCAUGCCGCGUGUGUGAAGAAGGCCUUCGGGUUGUAAAGCACUUUCAGCGGGGAGGAAGGCGUUAAGGUUAAUAACCUUGUCGAUUGACGUUACCCGCAGAAGAAGCACCGGCUAACUCCGUGCCAGCAGCCGCGGUAAUACGGAGGGUGCAAGCGUUAAUCGGAAUUACUGGGCGUAAAGCGCACGCAGGCGGUCUGCCAAGUCGGAUGUGAAAUCCCCGGGCUCAACCUGGGAACUGCAUUCGAAACUGGCAGGCUAGAGUCUUGUAGAGGGGGGUAGAAUUCCAGGUGUAGCGGUGAAAUGCGUAGAGAUCUGGAGGAAUACCGGUGGCGAAGGCGGCCCCCUGGACAAAGACUGACGCUCAGGUGCGAAAGCGUGGGGAGCAAACAGGAUUAGAUACCCUAGUAGUC